AACGCUAGCUACAGGCUUAACACAUGCAAGUCGAGGGGCAGCAUGAACUUAGCUUGCUAAGUUUGAUGGCGACCGGCGCACGGGUGAGUAACGCGUAUCCAACCUUCCGUACACUCAGGAAUAGCCUUUCGAAAGAAAGAUUAAUACCCGAUGGUAUAAAGAGUUCGCAUGUUCUCUUUAUUAAAGAAUUUCGGUAAGCGAUGGGGAUGCGUUCCAUUAGAUAGUUGGCGGGGUAACGGCCCACCAAGUCUACGAUGGAUAGGGGUUCUGAGAGGAAGGUCCCCCACAUUGGAACUGAGACACGGUCCAAACUCCUACGGGAGGCAGCAGUGAGGAAUAUUGGUCAAUGGACGAGAGUCUGAACCAGCCAAGUAGCGUGAAGGAUGACUGCCCUAUGGGUUGUAAACUUCUUUUAUAAGGGAAUAAAGUGAGGGACGUGUCCCUUUUUGUAUGUACCUUAUGAAUAAGGAUCGGCUAACUCCGUGCCAGCAGCCGCGGUAAUACGGAGGAUCCAAGCGUUAUCCGGAUUUAUUGGGUUUAAAGGGAGCGUAGGUUGACAUAUAAGUCAGCUGUGAAAGUUUACGGCUCAACCGUGAAAUUGCAGUUGAUACUGUAUGUCUUGAGUGUACAAGAGGUGGGCGGAAUUCGUGGUGUAGCGGUGAAAUGCUUAGAUAUCACGAAGAACUCCGAUUG
rnacentral:rRNA from 1 species